GACGAACGCUGGCGGCGUGCUUAACACAUGCAAGUCGAACGGAAAGGCCCUGCUUUUGUGGGGUGCUCGAGUGGCGAACGGGUGAGUAACACGUGAGUAACCUGCCCUUGACUUUGGGAUAACUUCAGGAAACUGGGGCUAAUACCGGAUAGGAGCUCCUGCUGCAUGGUGGGGGUUGGAAAGUUUCGGCGGUUGGGGAUGGACUCGCGGCUUAUCAGCUUGUUGGUGGGGUAGUGGCUUACCAAGGCUUUGACGGGUAGCCGGCCUGAGAGGGUGACCGGCCACAUUGGGACUGCGGUACGGCCCAGACUCCUACGGGAGGCAGCAGUGGGGAAUAUUGCACAAUGGGCGGAAACCUGAUGCAGCAACGCCGCGUGCGGGAUGACGGCCUUCGGGUUGUAAACCGCUUUCGCCUGUGACGAAGCGUGAGUGACGGUAAUGGGUAAAGAAGCACCGGCUAACUACGUG
rnacentral:rRNA from 1 species